AACGCGAAGAACCUUACCUACUCUUGACAUCCAGAGAACUUUCCAGAGAUGGAUUGGUGCCUUCGGGAACUCUGAGACAGGUGCUGCAUGGCUGUCGUCAGCUCGUGUUGUGAAAUGUUGGGUUAAGUCCCGCAACGAGCGCAACCCUUAUCCUUUGUUGCCAGCGGUCCGGCCGGGAACUCAAAGGAGACUGCCAGUGAUAAACUGGAGGAAGGUGGGGAUGACGUCAAGUCAUCAUGGCCCUUACGACCAGGGCUACACACGUGCUACAAUGGCAUAUACAAAGAGAAGCGACCUCGCGAGAGCAAGCGGACCUCAUAAAGUAUGUCGUAGUCCGGAUUGGAGUCUGCAACUCGACUCCAUGAAGUCGGAAUCGCUAGUAAUCGUAGAUCAGAAUGCUACGGUGAAUACGUUCCCGGGUCUUGUACACACGC
rnacentral:rRNA from 1 species